CCCCCACUGUACUGUGAAGCUCAGGGCAAGACUUUCUAAAAGUCUUCUGCCUACACCUGACAUGCUGUCCAGUGUGCACAGUUAUAUGUUGACUGUAUGAAGAUGGUGAAGGCUUUUCUGUAGUUGCAGAUCUCGCAAAAGGGGAGGAAGGCCUUCACCGCUGAACCCGAGCUUUGCCAUUUCGAAGUGCUGAGUCACCUCGUCCUCUCAGGGUCAGACACUUUCACGCAGGAAACGUCCUGCAGAGCACCGCAGCGGGAGCACCGAGCUGACCUGGAAGGAGAGAACAAGGGCCUUCCUGAGGCAGGACAAGGACCCAGAACUACCCAGAAUGCAGCAGGGCGGCCCCGCACGACUGAGCUCUGAUCCUAACCUGCAAAGUGAAGUUUCAAUUUCCACUUCCUGAGAAGGUGUAUAGGUGUGAACCAAGUGCACGUCUAGUUCCCUUGGAGGCCAGAAAGAAGGCGGUGUCAGAUCCCCAGGAACCAUAGUUACAGAUGGUUGAUGUGGAAACUCAGAGAGGAUGCCACUGUUUUGAACUAUUUUGAAGGCACAGCCACCAGAGCUUUAGGUCAGAAGAGGUCCUUGGAACUGGAAUUACAGGUGGCUGUGAGCCUCCAGGUAGGUGCUGAGAAUCAAGCAGCCUGGCUCCUCUGUAGGAGCUCUAAGGAAUGCUCUUACCUGCUGAGCCAUCUGUCCAGCCCUGAUUGUCCUGGCUGUUAAUUGAGGAAGGAAGACUUACUCUGAGGGAGGGCUGAGCCAGUCCCCAGGCUGCUCCCUGAAUGGUAUGUAGAGGAGGGGAGCCAGCUAAGCACUGACCAGCGAGGGUGUGCACAUUUUCUUUGGUCUUUGUUUUGAAUGUGGUGUGGCUGGCUGCUUCAAUUCCUGACUUGAUUUCCUCAAAAGGAUAGGCUGUAACCCAGAAUGGUAAACUGCCUU
rnacentral:lncRNA from 1 species